rnacentral:lncRNA from 1 species
AAAGAAAGAAAGAAAGAAAGAAAGAAAGAAAGAAAGAAAGAAAGAAAGCAAACAAAGGAAGGAAGGAAGGAAGGAAGGAAGGAAGGAAGGAAGGAAGGAAGGAAGGAAGGAAGGAAAGAGGGCAUUGCUUCAAAUCUGUUGGAGAUAUGUAAUUUAAAAAUCUCAUUGGAUAUUUCUAAUACACUACUAAUGAUACCUUAGAAACUGGCUCAAUGAUAGAGGGAUUUCUAAGCAGUGUAAUUUCUACAUUCGAUGAACAGCUCCAUGAAUAUGCAAUAUAAAGAAUGAUUGCAGCUAACAUUGUUUCUAAUAAGGCUUAUUCCAAUCUCUGGGUUGCUUUUAAUAAUCACAUAGUCAUUCAGAAGAUUUGUUCUCCUGCUCCAUUUUGAAGGCUGUUCUGUGCUUCAUAAAAUCAGUUCAUAUAAAACCACUGAGUUGAUUUUUCAUUUUGCCUUUUCUGGAUACCUAGGGAUACAAUUGCAACUUGUCAUUUAUUCUAUAUGCAUUUUUGAAAGAUAACAUUUUUUUGUAUUUUGGGGCUGUUGUAAAUAAAAUGCUGUAAUUACAUAGCUUAUAAACAACAAACAACUGUCACAUCCCAACCUAGAGGCUGAGAAGGCCAAGUAGAGCCAGCAGAGGUGGGUUCUAGUGUGAGCACACACUUCCUGCCUCACAGAUGAUGGUCUUGCUGUGCUUUCUCCUGUCAGAUGGGCAAAGGAUGUUCUUGGAGGCCUCUUUUAUGAGCACAAUAAGCCAAACCUGAGAGUCAGAGCCCUCAAUGUGAGCCCUUCACACAGGCUCCGCCACCACACACCCCCGUCUUGUGACUAAAUCUCAACAUAAUGGACUGGGAGAGUGGAUGGCACAAGGGUUCUGACUGUCACACCUGGGUGCGUGUCAUUCAAUAAGAGCAAUGAUGACUUGUUCCACCUAGAAAGUGCUCUGAAUAGAGAGGCAUCUCAAUGCAAUUUCUUCACCAUUACUCACUCAUCUUUUUGUGAUAUCACUUUCCUUUAUUAUCCAGAAACAUAAGUGGAGGAGGGAGAGCUACAGGGCAUGGAUCCACAGAAGAGGAAGUAGGAUAUCACUGUGAUAUAUUCUUUGUUUGUUUGUUUGUUUGUUUGUUUGUUUGUUUGAACUGAGUGUCAGAGAUCCUAGCAGGGUUCUACUCUAUGGACUGGAUGCCUCUUCUGUGAGGUCUUGAAUUCAUGGAAGUGAUUAAAAUCUGAUUUGGAUAGAUUAGCAUAUCUCAGAGAUUUCUAAUUAACUGAGAUUCUCUUCCCCUUGUCUUUUUUUCUCCCUCUUUCUUUUCAUUUUCAUUUUCAUUUUUUUUCUUGCCUUGAUUUUUGUUUUUAUUAAGUCAUUUUUUUUCUUUGUUAGGCAGAAUCUCACAUCAUAACCCCAAAUGACCUGUUACUCACCAUGUGGCCCAGCUGUCUUCAAACUCACCAGCCUCCUGCCUUAGCCUUCUAAAUGCUUGGAUUACAGGCAUGACCCACCAUAACUGGCUUUGUUUUAGUUUCAGAGAAGAUGAAACUGAUGUGCGUCAAAAAGUAAACUACCCACAUUUUAACUGGGCACAUUCCUGUCAAUCUGAUGAGAAUCUAUUUCAUACCCUGCUUUAGCUGGUAGUCUGUCAAGGAAAUGAGCUGAACAUGUCUGUGUACAGCUUUUGUGCCAUCCCUGGAUGAGCGAGCUGUCUGCCUCUAUGUUCUCCACAAAAUGGAAUAUAGCUGUACACCCAAGCCAAGUUAUGGAGGCUGGGAAGACCUAGAAUGUGGCAUCACUAUUUGCUGAAAUUUUUAAUAUAAUGCCUCUUAGCCUGGUUUGGAGAAAACGUCACAGAGAGGCACCAUUUGUUGUGGUUUUACAUGAAAAUUUUCUGACCCUGAACCUGGUUUGAUGGAAAUCAUUUGCUGAGGUUAUUUAGAAAAUUGUUACCUCAAAAAUGACCUAGGGGUCCUUAGAAUAAUAACACACAGAAGAAUAGCCUCAUUUUUCUGUUGGGCCCAGGAAACCAUGCCGAUUACCGACCGAGCUCUCAAUGGAAAAAUGCAGUCGGCGUGAACCACGCACGAACACAGCAGAGAAAGAAGAAAACACACACCACGAGGAACCCUAAUAGGACAAUACAUUAUAAGUCACAGUGCUACGGAGAAACCCAGUAGCCACAUGGAAGCAGAGACCAUGCAUAUGCAUCUACUCCGCAGCUCUGUGAAUGUCAGCAGCUCCCACGGACUGGAGAUCCCGUGAGAUCCCGUGAGAUCUCACCCAUAGCCUCAUGGUACAUCCACUUGGUGUGCUGGGAGAGUCAGGAUGAGGACCUGAGAAGAACAGCAGCUUGAACCUGACUUCAUUUAACAGCCCACUGCCCUCUUGCCAAGAACCCAUCACAGACCUUCCCAGAAGAGAGGGAUGAGCCUCACCUAUGAAUAAGUCCUCAGAAACUCAAAUUUGAUUCUAAUGGAUUGUUUUCUCAGAAAGACUGAGCAUGUCCCCCCACAUCUCUGUCAUUUCCCACAGUAGUAACCUCUGCAGAUGCCACAUAGAAAACAAAACAAAACAAAAAAACAUGAGGUUGGUGGGCAGAUAGGCAGGGUAUAAACAAACAGCCUUGUAACCCAGAAGCUGUGUGAUAUACAGUAAACUUCACAACACUGAAAAGAUGUCCUAUCUGUUAAAAUGGGGUAAUAACAACUACCCGAAUGUUUAGGAAUAGAACUUCAAUAAAUGAUACAUUUUAUAGUACAGCAGACCAUCCUGUAAAGGUUUCAUCCUUCACUGUGGUGAUAAAUAUCCCAAACCACAUUGAAAAGCAUUGCAUCUACAUUUAUCUACACUGUAACUGUACUGUAAAUCAUGGGGGAGGGGAGAAUCAUAAAAACACCACCUGUCACCGUGUCAUUAAAGCAAGUUGGAAGUGAUACUUACAGAAACACAGCAAGAGCACCCCCAGUCACACAGUUCAAUCUCUUAGCAAGCGUUUUCUUUCUAGCCCAGUGGUUCUCAGUUUGGAAUUUUUGGCACUGCCUAGAGAUAGUUUUGUUGUUAAAACUGAGAAAAGAGCCGGGCGUGGUGGCACACGCCUUUAAUCCCAGCACUCAGGAGGCAGAGGCAGG